rnacentral:rRNA from 1 species
GAUGAACGCUAGCUACAGGCUUAACACAUGCAAGUCGAGGGGCAGCACAGUGUAGCAAUACAUGGGUGGCGACCGGCGCACGGGUGCGUAACGCGUAUCCAACCUUCCCGUUACUCUUGGAUAGCCUUCCGAAAGGGAGAUUAAUACAAGAUGGUAUUCAAAUUCCGCAUGUUAUUUGAACUAAAGAUUUAUCGGUAACGGAUGGGGAUGCGUGACAUUAGAUAGUAGGCGGGGUAACGGCCCACCUAGUCUACGAUGUCUAGGGGUUCUGAGAGGAAGGUCCCCCGCACUGGAACUGAGACACGGUCCAGACUCCUACGGGAGGCAGCAGUGGGGGAUAUUGCACAAUGGGGGAAACCCUGAUGCAGCAACGCCGCGUGAAGGAAGAAAGGGUCUUCGGAUUGUAAAACUUCUGUUUUUUAGUGAAGAAACAAAUGACGGUAGCUAAAGAGGAAGCCACGGCUAACUACGUG